rnacentral:rRNA from 1 species
CCUACGGGGGGCUGCAGUGGGGAAUAUUGCGCAAUGGGCGAAAGCCUGACGCAGCGACGCCGCGUGAGGGAUGAAGGUCUUCGGAUCGUAAACCUCUGUCAGCAGGGAGGAACGGUCCCUGUUCUAAUCAGCAGUGAAUUGACGGUACCUGCAAAGGAAGCACCGGCUAACUCCGUGCCAGCAGCCGCGGUAAUACGGAGGGUGCGAGCGUUAAUCGGAAUUACUGGGCGUAAAGCGCUCGUAGGCGGUAUGUCAAGUCAAGGGUGAAAUCCCCGCGCUCAACGUGGGAAUUGCAUUUGAAACUGGUCAGCUGGAGUGUUGGAGAGGAGAGUAGAAUUCCAGGUGUAGGAGUGAAAUGCGUAGAUAUGUGGAGGAACAUCAGUGGCGAAGGCGACUAUCUGGCACAUAACUGACGCUGAGGAGCGAAAGCGUGGGUAGCAAACAGGAUUAGAUACCCGAGUAGUC